GCCCGGGUGGCGGAAUGGUAGACGCGGGGGACUUAAAAUCCCUUGUCUUCGGACGUGCGGGUUCAAAUCCCGCCCCGGGCA
rnacentral:tRNA from 1 species